CCUACGGGUGGCAGCAGUGGGGAAUAUUGCACAAUGGGCGCAAGCCUGAUGCAGCGACGCCGCGUGCGGGAUGGAGGCCUUCGGGUUGUAAACCUCUUUUGUUCAAGGGCAAGGCACUGUCGUUGGCCGUGUUGUGUGGCUUGUUUGAAUAAGCACCGGCUAACUAAGUGCUAGCUGCCGCGGUAAUACGGAGGGUUUAAGCGUUAUCCGGAUUUAUUGGGCGUAAGGGGCCCGUAGGCGGUUCGUCGCGUCAGGUGUGAAAUUCCAUCGCUUAACGGGGGUUCCGCGCCGGGUACUGGCGGGCUGGAGUGCGGUAGGGGAGACUGGAAUUCCCGGUGUAGCGGUGGAAUGUGUAGAUAUCGGGAAGAACACCAAUGGCGAAGGCAGGUCUCUGGGCCGUUACUGACGCUGAGGAGCGAAAGCGUGGGGAGCGAACAGGAUUAGAUACCCGUGUAGUC
rnacentral:rRNA from 1 species